rnacentral:rRNA from 1 species
GAACCAGACUCCUACGGGAGGCAGCAGUGGGGAAUAUUGCACAAUGGGGGAAACCCUGAUGCAGCGACGCCGCGUGAGCGAUGAAGUAUUUCGGUCUGUAAAGCUCUAUCAGCAGGGAAGAAAAUGACGGUACCUGACUAAGAAGCCCCGGCUAACUACGUGCCAGCAGCCGCGGUAAUACGUAGGGGGCAAGCGUUAUCCGGAUUUACUGGGUGUAAAGGGAGCGUAGACGGCGGUGCAAGCCAGAUGUGAAAGCCCGGGGCUCAACCCCGGGACUGCAUUGGAAACUGCCGGGCUGGAGUGCCGGAGGGGUAAGCGGAAUUCCUGGUGUAGCGGUGAAAUGCGCAGAUAUCAGGAAGAACACCGGUGGCGUAGGCGGCUUACUGGACGGCAACUGACGCUGAGGCUCGAAAGCGUGGGGAGCAAACAGGAUUAGAUACCCUAGUA